CUGCCUCGUUACAAUCACAAUCUA
rnacentral:siRNA from 1 species